GCUUUGUAUUUCUGUCCUCCAAGGCCCAUCAAAAUGCUCUGCGGCUGUCUGUUCUUCCCUACCCCCGCCGCCGCCUGCCGUCGGAGAUAAAAAGAAGCAAAGUGCCGCCGUCGAUGGGUGAUUCGCCGGCCGGAGAUGAGAGAAUAAGGGGAGAGCCAAGACAAGCCAUUGCUAAUUGGAAAGGGAUGCGUCCUGAGCUGCCGCGAGUCCUGGGCGAAGAUCCCAGGUCGUUAUAAGGAAGGUGAUCACAUUUUUUCUUGAGUUCUUCUCUGCCAAGUAGAAUAUAGCAAGGACACAAGUAAGCCUUAUUCUAUUUCUCAAUCGAGCUAAAUUUUGCUGGCCUUUGUUACCUGAGAUGAUUCCCCUUGGGGCGGCUCCAGGCAGCUGUGCUUCAGUUUUUAUGAUUUCAGUCUUGUUUCAUUUAGUUGAUCAGUAUCCCAACAUCUGUCUUGUGGUUGAGUCACUUAUUUUAGUCUGUAGUUGAUUCACUCAUUUAAGCUUGGGCAAAAAGAGCUUCACUAGGACCGAGUACAACACUGCACCCGAUGGUCGGAUCUUCUUCAAGCAUGGACGGAAGAAGUUUCUUACGAGGACUGGACUUGAGGUUGGAGCGGAUGUGUUAAUAACAUGCAAGACAAAGGUCGGCAAUGAGCUCGAGAUGAUUGUUCUUAGUCUAUUGUUCAAUCAAUGUUUAUUAUUAUCAGUCAUUUUCUUAUAAUAGUUGACUCACCAGUCAAUGUUCAGAGAGCAGACAUCAUUGUUCUAUUUAUCAUUCAUGAGUUUUACUCAUCGUUCAGCCUUUCAGAUGAUAUUAUCUUCUUUGUUAUCUUUUCAUUUUCUUUUCUUUAUUCCUUUUGGCCCAAGCAUGAGUUAGGUAAGUAGAAAGUCCUUCAUUAUAUGUCCAUCUUCCUACUCCCUUUAGUUUCCCCAGAUAUUUCCGUUUCUUUUCUCUGAUUUUUGUUUAGUGGCUUUUGUCAGUGGCACAAGUUUACUUCUAAAGCUUGUUUUGUGA